UUGUUCCUUUUUCCUAUGCAUAUACUUCUUUGAGAACUGGAUCUAAAGAGGCAUAAGGCAUGGGAAAAUGGGGCGA
rnacentral:pre_miRNA from 1 species